UAACCAAAGUGGUUGAGGUCUCUUCCUUU
rnacentral:piRNA from 1 species